CACCGGUCGGUUAUGAGGUUGGUAUCUGGCUGCUGGUGGGUGUGAUGGCACCCUUGGUCAUGGAGGCUGCACCCGCGGUGCGACCUGAUUAGUCUUGCGAGUAAUUGCAUACUCAUCCGCCAACUUGGCGGCCUCUGGUAGAGACAGGGGCCUGCGAUCUCUCACCCAAUCUUUGACAUCCGCCUGGAUAUGGUUGUAAAACUGUUCCAGGAGUAUCAGUUGCAAAAUAUCCUCCGUGGUGGUGGCCUGGCUACUGUUAACCCAGUUAGAGGCUGACAGGGAUAACUGGCAUGCCCAUUCCACGUAAGAGUCUUUAACGGUUUUGCAUGAGUCCCUGAACUUCCCUGAACUUCUGACCGCAUUCAUGAGUUUUAAGAUGG